rnacentral:rRNA from 1 species
AUUGAACGCUGGCGGCAGGCCUAACACAUGCAAGUCGAGCGGAAGCAUGGUGCUUGCUGCUGGAUUCAGCGGCGGACGGGUAAGUGAUGGCUAUACAUCUGCAUGGGCGCGGGGGAUAACGUCAGCUAGUGGGCGCUAUUACCGAUUACGCCCAGGGGCAGAAGGUGAGGGAGCUUGGGAGCACACGCUAUCACUAUAGCCGAGGUCGGAUUAGCUAGUUGGUGGGGUAAAGGCCUACCAAGGCGACGAUCCGUAACUGGUCUGAGAGGAUGAUCAGUCACACUGGAACUGAGACACGGUCCAGACUCCUACGGGAGGCAGCAGUGGGGAAUAUUGGACAAUGGGCGAAAGCCUGAUCCAGCCAUGCCGCGUGUGUGAAGAAGGUCUUCGGAUUGUAAAGCACUUUAAGUUGGGAGGAAGUGCAGUAAGUUAAUACCUUGCUGUUUUGACGGUACCAAAAGAAUAAGCACCGGCUAACUUCGUG